rnacentral:misc_RNA from 1 species
GGUUGGGUCUUUGAUUUCGUGUAGUAAUUUCUAUACGUUUUAUGAAUUUUUGUGUAUAAUUUUGGUCGAUUGCUAUUGUUUUAUUUUCUGGGUUUUGCUUUGUUCCUGGAAUAUGAUCGCAAUUCGAUAUGGGUAGGCAAAAUUCACUGUCAAAUGAAAAUGUGGGAUCUUUUAUUUCCAACACUGAACAGUUGAAGGUUGUUUUGUUGCUUUAGUUUAUAAACUAUUUUUGGCCCCG